rnacentral:rRNA from 1 species
AGCGAACGCUGGCGGCAGGCCUAACACAUGCAAGUCGAACGAAGUCUUCGGACUUAGUGGCGGACGGGUGAGUAACACGCGGGAACGUGCCUUUAGGUCGGGAAUAACUCAGGGAAACUUGUGCUAAUGCCGAAUGUGACCUUCGGGGGAACGAUUUGUCGCGUUUAGAGCGGCCCGCGUCUGAGUAGCUAGUUGGUGCGGUAAAGGCUCGCCAAGGCUACGAUAAGUAGGUGGUCUGAGAGGAUGCCCAGGCAAGUGGGGACUAGGACACGGCCGUAACUCCUACGGAAGGCAGCCGUGGUGGAUCUUGCGAACGGGGCGACAGCGUGAAGCAGCGGUGCCGCGUGGGUGAGGAAGGGAUUAGGGUUGUGAAAGCCUUUCAUCGGUGAAGAUAAUGUCUGUAGCCCGAGAAGAAGACCCGGCUAACUUCGUGCCAGCCGCCGCAGUAAUAC